GAUUUGAGUAAAAAGAGUGACGAAUGGAGAACUAGGGUGCACUAAAGAGGACGGAGCCCCCCGAAAUGGCGGAGGAGAGACUUUGAAGCCCUAAUGUCCUGCGCGGCAACGCAGCGGGGGGGCCAGGGGAGCGAAACAUCCCAGUACCGGGCCCCCCACCCCCCCCUCCCCAUAGUGGGUGUUUAGGGGGGGGCACAGUAAAAAUCAAACGAGAUUCCGCAAGUGGCGGCGAGCGAAAGCGGACGGGCCCUUUCCCGUAGGCCCCCCGGCCUCGGCUGGGGGGCGGGGGUCGCCCACCCAGGGGCGGGCGAGUAGUGAUGGGAAGAUGGGUGGCCACACAUCCAAGGCUUAAUAAUUAGUGUCACACCGAAAGAGAGGAGUACUGUAAAGGAAAGUUGAAAGAGACUUGAAAAGACCUUGAAAUGAGUCACUUAAAGCAGUUGUAACACAACGUACCUUUUGUAUAAUGGGUCCACGAGAUAAAAUUUGGCAAACUUAAAGUGCAAUCUCGCAGCCACCCCACAGGGGAUGGUUGGGGGGAUUGUUCUUGGCCCCCUAAGGUGUAGUGAAAGCAAGGGGGGGGAUACCCCCACCCCUCAGUCAAAUUUCCCGAAACCAAGUGAUCUAGCCAUGGGCAGUUUUUAGGAACGAACCGGUGGUUGUUGCAAAAACCUCGGACGACCUGUGGUUAGGGGCGAAACGCCAAUCGAACUUGGAGAUAGCUGGUUUUCUGCGAAAACUAUUGAAGUAGUGCGUCCACAAUUCAAGGCUAAGAUCGACUGAUCUUAGGGCAAGUCGAAUAAUCAAGAUUUGCAUUAUCCGAUGAGAAUGGCUUGGAAUGCGGUAAAGCCCGAUCCCCCGAAGCCGGGGGAUUAACUAUGAAGAAAAAAAGCCAGAGUAGGACAGACAGACUGUGGGCGAUAAGGUCGACGGUCAAAAGGGGAGAAGCCCUAACCAGAAGUUAAAGUCAUUAAUAAAAAUUUCCACCAUCCUGGAUGGUGGCAAGUAUAAAAUUUAGUGUAAAAGAGAUAUUGGAUUUAGACAAUGAAGAAGUAGGCUUGGAGCCAGCCACCUUUGAGAGAUGACGUAGCAGUUCACUCAAGAAAUUCUUUUAUCUCUAAAAUUAUGGUGGCUAAAGUUGAACUGAAACUCUGGGGGCGAAAUAACAAGGUGGGGUCCGGGAGGACCCAACCCUCACCCUAACGGGUGCAGGUUGCGAGGAACUCCCGCCCUUCGUUAUGUUUGCUCGGUAGCAGAACGUACUGUUAAUUGUUCAGUGAGAGCCCCACACGGCAUCAGAAGUGAUAAUGUGGACAUGAGUAAAAAAUCAUAGGAUCACUCCCCCCCUGGUUUCCCAUAUUAGCUAUGGGGUUAAACAGCCCCUAAAAUAGCAGCCCCAAAGGUUGCGUUAAUGGGGGGCCAUGAGUAAUAGACGCACAAAGUGCCAGGAAAGAAUUAUUCAAGGGCAUCGGUAAAUCGAAGGUGAUAACCAUCUUUCGGCGCCGCACUGUACUAAACUAACUAAAGUGGGGGAUAGUGAGGGGAUAAAUUUCCUUAAGGAACUCGGCAAAAUCCCAAUGGCCCACCAGGGCAUAGAUUGGAACACGGGCCUCGACUGUUUACCAAAAACAUAGCCCUCGGCUAAUAUGAAAAUAGAAGUAUGGAGGGUGAGGCCUGCCCAAUGGUUGUAUCUAAAAGCGGUGGAUAAAAGUCGACCGUGUAAGGACAAUUGAAUGGCCGCGGUAACACUGACCGUGAUAAUGUAGCGUAAUCACUAGCCAAUUAAUUGUUGGCCAGUAUGAAUGGCGCCACGAAGGCCCCACUGUCUUAAGGAAAUUCCCAGUGAAAUUGAAUUCGUAGUGAAGAUGCUACGUCCAAUUUGUUAGACGAAAAGACCCCGUUGAGCUUUACUGGGGCACUUACACGGCCCUGGCCUUCAAGCCUAAGUGUGAUAGGCCAAGGCUUACCGCACCUAGGAGUUGGCCGAAUUUAAAUGGGUGGCUUAGACUAUGUGGCAGCCCCCCGUCGGGGCAGAUGAAACCCCACUCCCCCAUGUCAAAGGGGCUAACCCCCUCCUCUUGGGAGGGGGGACAAUGUAAGUAGGACAGUUUGGUUGGGGCGACCGCCUUUUAAAUAGUAACGAAGGUGCGCUUAAGGUGUGUAAUUAAUGACUGAAGCCUGACUGCGAGGGGGACACCCCGAGCAGACACCCCCAAGCCCGCCCGGGAGGGCGGCGAUGGGGUGGGCCAUAGUGACCCGUUAAUUUAGAGUGGAAUAGUUAACGAUCAACGAAUAAAAGUUACCACGGGGAUAACAGCGUAAUAUCGUUAGAGAGUUCACAUCGACGACGAUGUUUGCGACCUCGAUGUUGAAUUGCGGCAUCCUGGGGUGCAGCCGCUCCCAAGGGUUGGUCUGUUCGUCCAUUAAAGCCGUACAUGAUUUGAGUUAAAAGCGUGGUAACACAGCUUGGUUUCUAUCUACAAAUUGAAGAAACAUCGAUAUAACUAUCUUCUAGUACGAAAGGACCGAAGGAUUAGUGAUCCUCUUAUUUUUUAUAAGUUACGAUCAACCCAUUGACCUCCACUCCCCCUCCCGGGGGGGCGAGGGGUCUCUCAGCUAAUCACUGACCGCUUCUAAAGUGGGAAAGUCAUAUCGAAAUGUUUGGGCCCAUUAUAGGGGGGCUAAAACCCCACCACCACGAGCCCGCUAUAGCGGCCUCC
rnacentral:rRNA from 1 species